GAGGAAAGGGAAAGAGGAGAAGAGGGAUAGAGCCAUUGAUUGGUUAGCCACCACUUUCUCUCCCUUUGCUACUGCAAUCUUGUAGGGCUUUUGUUCCUUCAUUGUUCUCACCUUUUCGGAAUCUGCUUGCUCUUGAUUUUUGGGUCCCACAUUUGUUGCCCUUUGUACAAGCCUACGAGGGCUGCAUGUAUUUUCUGAGAGUAUCAUUGAGAGUUAUACUUUUGAAUUUGAUUGAAGGUGCUACGUGGAUUGAUUCCCUAUAAAAAAAUGGGUGAUCAAAAAGAUGUGGGAAUAAUGGGUUUAAAUUGUUGAGUAAUGUUGUAGAAAGGGACGUCCUGUCUGAUCAUGUUGACCAGGUUGCUUUAAGGCUUGGAUAAUAGUGAGUUGACUUUGGCUUGGCUGGCUUUUUAUAUUGGUAGAGGUAUGAUUUUGGCCUUUUAAGAUAGGAGCUAAGAUUGAUGGAUUAUAUGUUGUAAAUUGGGCUAGGAUUGUUCAGUAAUUACGGGGCUAGAAUAGUUAUGCAGAAAUUGUAGGGAUGAAUUGGCAUUGAGAUAUCAAUUUUUAUUUAUAUUGUGUGGAAAUGAUGUCCUUGAUGUUAUAACUAUUAUCCUAACUGCACUUGCUAUAUCUGUUCUGUGUUCUCUUUGGUAUAUUACCCAGUUCGUGAAAGUUGGCCGAGUGGUAAGCACGCAAAUUAAAAUAAAAGGUUAAAUUGAGCAUUUUGGAGGUUGUCAAUAGUAAAUCAAGGACUGUUGCGUGCUAUCUCUCUAUAAUAAUGAACUUCUGAAUAAAUUUCCGGGGCAUGGAGAUGGUAUAACUGAAGAGUGCUUGGCACAGCUUAAAAGGUGUUCCUCUAAGGAUGUUCUAACGAACCCUGAAUUGUGAUGUUGGGAUCUAAGUUAACUUUUUGAUAAGCUAACUGAACUAAAUGUCUAAUAGGUUAGCUUGAAAAAUCAAAUAAUGGCUGGGCUAGAUUUGAUUGGUUCAUGGAGUGAAUUUGCCAACACAACAGUCUUUCUGCAUGUUAUUUGGAUGAUACAGAAAUAUGGGUUAGACUUUUGGUGGAUGAGAAACCAGUACUUUGUUUAUUUAAUGGCAAUGUUGCUUUUUGUCUUGUGGAGUCACCUGCAGAAUGGACUACGGAUUAGAAAAGCCGUGAAAACUGUUGCUGGAUUCAAGCCAAAUUGCUUUUACGAAACAUGGAAAUAUUCCUCUGUUUGUGUGGAAGGUUGCACCCCCCUUCCCCCCCUUCUUUAAGUGUGGCAUGGGAUAGCCCUACAAAAGAUGGUAUUGGAGCUCUGCACUAGUCAGCAUAAUUCAAGUCU
rnacentral:misc_RNA from 1 species